ensembl:misc_RNA
UUGACACUCCUGGACACUGAUGCCUUCUUUGUCUACAGAGCAGGUACAACCCAGGCACUGGCAGUGAAAGCUUCUGCCACACUGCUGCCUGAUGAAGUGCUUCCAUCCUGGCCAGGACAGACUAUCUCUAGAGCUGAAGGGGAGAGCAUUUCCUUGGUCCAUUCAGCCUUUGACUUCU